CCUACGGGAGGCAGCAGUGGGGAAUAUUGCACAAUGGGCGCAAGCCUGAUGCAGCCAUGCCGCGGGUGUGAAGAAGGCCUUCGGGUUGUAAAGCACUUUCAGCGGGGAGGAAGGCGGUGAGGUUAAUAACCUCAUCGAUUGACGUUACCCGCAGAAGAAGCACCGGCUAACUCCGUGCCAGCAGCCGCGGUAAUACGGAGGGUGCAAGCGUUAAUCGGAAUUACUGGGCGUAAAGCGCACGCAGGCGGUCUGUCAAGUCGGAUGUGAAAUCCCCGGGCUCAACCUGGGAACUGCAUUCGAAACUGGCAGGCUAGAGUCUUGUAGAGGGGGGUAGAAUUCCAGGUGUAGCGGUGAAAUGCGUAGAGAUCUGGAGGAAUACCGGUGGCGAAGGCGGCCCCCUGGACAAAGACUGACGCUCAGGUGCGAAAGCGUGGGGAGCAAACAGGAUUAGAUACCCUUGUAGUC
rnacentral:rRNA from 1 species